UCGCGCAUUCUCGUCCGCUUUUCCUCCCCGGCCCGCGCGCCAGUAUCGGCUGCUCUGCCUCGUGCCUCCAUAAAUACGACCCCGCCCUCCGCCGUUCCCACUCGCCCCUCCCCACACCUCCGCUCCCGGCCUGUGCCGCCGUCGCCACCGCUCGCUCGCCCGCCUGCCUGCCUGCCUGGGCCCGCAGCACCGACUCUGACAGCGCCCGUCCUGCUUCCUGUACCGGCAGGCGAGGGAGAGGACUCAGGGAGUGUGAUGGCGGCAAUGCCGGCGCCGCUUCUGCCUCUGCUUCUGCUGGUGGUGGCCGCGGCGAUGACGCUCUCCCCCGCCGCCGCCCGCAUUCCCGGCGUGUACGUCGGCGGCGGCGGCGGCUGGCAGAGCGCGCACGCCACGUUCUACGGCGGCAGCGACGCUUCGGGCACCAUGGGCGGCGCCUGCGGGUACGGCAACCUGUACAGCCAGGGGUACGGCGUGAACAACGCGGCGCUGAGCACGGCGCUGUUCGACGAGGGGCUCCGCUGCGGCGCGUGCUUCGAGAUCAGGUGCGAGGAGCAGCCCGGGUGGCGGUGGUGCCGGCCAGGGAGGCCCUCCAUCCUGGUCACGGCCACCAACUUCUGCCCGCCAAACUACGCGCUCCCCUCCGACGACGGCGGCUGGUGCAACCCGCCCCGCCCGCACUUCGACCUCGCCAUGCCCAUGUUCCUCCACAUCGCCGAGUACCGCGCCGGCAUCGUCCCCGUCUCCUACCGCCGGGUGCCGUGCCGCAAGUCCGGCGGGGUGCGGUUCACCAUCAACGGCUUCCGGUACUUCAACCUGGUGCUGAUCACGAACGUGGCCGGCGCGGGGGACGUGGUGCGCGCGAGCGUCAAGGCGGCCAGCACCGGGUGGCUGCCCAUGUCCAGGAACUGGGGCCAGAACUGGCAGUCCAACGCCAUCCUCGUCGGCCAGGCGCUCUCCUUCCGCGUCACCGCCAGCGACCGCCGCACCUCCACCUCCUGGAACGCCGCCCCGAGCACCUGGCAGUUCGGCCAGACCUUCGAGGGCAAGAACUUCAGGGUCUGAUGCAUGGGAUGGGAUGCGAUGGGAUGGGACUUGGGAGAAGAAGCCAAAACUCUUUUCUUUCUUUCUUUCUUUCUUCUUAUACGUAAUUAUUACUACUCACUCCUGCUACCGUACUACUGCUACUGGAGUACUAAGCGCGUGUUACUGUGUUAGAGGGUGGUGGGUGUUGUCAAUGCCUGUUUUAAGGUCACGCCUUCCGCCCGCCUUAAUCCCAGGUCCAGGUCCUCUCUGAAAAAAUGGAGUCUUUUCUUCUGAACAAGAUGUGUGGAUGGGAUUCUCUAGAGUUUGUCAGGGUAUAUUGCCGUCUCUUCGGUCCCUAGCACUUCUCUAUGCAUCAAGUUUGUGCCUUUGGCUUGGGGGUGACUGGUGGGUUUCUGUGUGAGCUGCUCAAGUGGCUGCCGAGCUGCGGCUCCAAUUUGGUGGCAGCGCGGUGAGCGUAGCCCGCAGCUGCUCGUCAUCUUCUUUCGUCCCGUCCCGUGUCUCUCUGUCUGUCUCCAUGACAGGAACACACAUUUGUUAUCUAUCUCGUUCUACAUCAUGGUUCAUUG
rnacentral:misc_RNA from 1 species